rnacentral:rRNA from 1 species
UACGUAGGGAGCAAGCGUUGUCCGGAUUUAUUGGGCGUAAAGAGCUCGUAGGCGGUUUAGAAAGUCAGGUGUGAAACCUCCAGCUCAACCUGGAGACGCCACUUCGAUUACUUCUAUGACUUGAGUUCGGUAGGGGUAAGCGGAAUUCCUGGUGUAGCGGUGAAAUGCGCAGAUAUCAGGAGGAACACCGAUGGCGAAGGCAGCUUACUGGGCCGAUACUGACGCUGAGGAGCGAAAGCGUGGGGAGCGAACAGG